rnacentral:rRNA from 1 species
UGGGGAAUAUUGCACAAUGGGGGAAACCCUGAUGCAGCGACGCCGCGUGAGUGAAGAAGUAUUUCGGUAUGUAAAGCUCUAUCAGCAGGGAAGAAACCCACCCUCCGGGGUGGCUGACGGUACCUGACUAAGAAGCCCCGGCUAACUACGUGCCAGCAGCCGCGGUAAUACGUAGGGGGCAAGCGUUAUCCGGAUUUACUGGGUGUAAAGGGAGCGUAGGUGGCAAGGCAAGUCAGAUGUGAAAACCCGGGGCCCAACCCCGGGAGUGCAUUUGAAACUGUCUGGCUAGAGUGCAGGAGAGGUAAGUGGAAUUCCUAGUGUAGCGGUGAAAUGCAUAGAUAUUAGGAGGAACACCAGUGGCGAAGGCGGCUUACUGGACUGUAACUGACACUGAGGCUCGAAAGCGUGGGGAGCAAACA